CUUGCCUGUAUGCAGGGGGAAUAAUUUUUUUAAUGAUACAGAGAAGAUUAGCAUGGCCCCUGCACAAGGAUGACAUGCAAAUUCGUGAAGCAUUCCGUAUUUUU